GACGAACGCUGGCGGCGUGCUUAACACAUGCAAGUCGAACGGAAAGGCCCUGCUUUUGUGGGGUGCUCGAGUGGCGAACGGGUGAGUAACACGUGAGUAACCUGCCCUUGACUUUGGGAUAACUUCAUGAAACUGGGGCUAAUACCGGAUAGGAGCUCCUGCUGCAUGGUGGGGGUUGGAAAGUUUCGGCGGUUGGGGAUGGACUCGCGGCUUAUCAGCUUGUUGGUGGGGUAGUGGCUUACCAAGGCUUUGACGGGUAGCCGGCCUGAGAGGGUGACCGGCCACAUUGGGACUGAGAUACGGCCCAGCCUCCUACGGGAGGCAGCAGUGGGGAAUAUUGCACAAUGGGCGGAAGCCUGAUGCAGCAACGCCGCGUGCGGGAUGACGGCCUUCGGGUUGUAAACCGCUUUCGCCUGUGACGAAGCGUGAGUGACGGUAAUGGGUAAAGAAGCACCGGCUAACUACGUG
rnacentral:rRNA from 1 species